rnacentral:rRNA from 1 species
CGUCGCGCUGCCGUGUCCUGCCGGUCCUUGCUAGCCGGUGUUAAGAUGUAGCCCUCUCCUGCGCCGCUGCGACUGCGAUCGCCACGGCGCUGGUUAACGCGCGCNAGGUCCCGUUNACUCCCCUCGAUGCCCCCGGCUCGGCGCCCGCUGCCAUGCCCCGGCGGNCGAUCGCGUUGCCCCUCCCCUUGNGACCAGCUCCGGCUCCGCGCUGUCGCGGCCGCNGCGGGCUGACGCUCUCCNCCUGCCUCGGUGACGACGGCCCGUUCGCCUGUCCGCCGCUGGGGUGCUAGGC